rnacentral:rRNA from 1 species
CGUAGGUCCCGAGCGUUGUCCGGAUUUAUUGGGCGUAAAGCGAGCGCAGGUGGUUGUAUAAGUCUGAAGUAAAAGGCAGUGGCUCAACCAUUGUGUGCUUUGGAAACUGUACAACUUGAGUGCAGAAGGGGAGAGUGGAAUUCCAUGUGUAGCGGUGAAAUGCGUAGAUAUAUGGAGGAACACCGGUGGCGAAAGCGGCUCUCUGGUCUGUAACUGACACUGAGGCUCGAAAGCGUGGGAGCAAACAGGAUU